rnacentral:rRNA from 1 species
UACGUAGGGUGCGAGCGUUAAUCGGAAUUACUGGGCGUAAAGUGUGCGCAGGCGGCCGGGCAAGUCCGAGUGUGAAAGCCCCCGAGCUUAACUUGGGAAUUGCGCUCGAAACUACUUGGCUGGAGUGUGGCAGAGGAAGGUGGAAUUCCAGGUGUAGCGGUGAAAUGCGUAGAGAUCUGGAGGAACACCGAUGGCGAAGGCAGCCUUC